rnacentral:rasiRNA from 1 species
CCCAACAAGACAUCCGAUUAGUUCAU